GAUGAACGCUGGCGGCGUGCCUAAUACAUGCAAGUCGAGCGAACAGACGAGGAGCUUGCUCCUCUGACGUUAGCGGCGGACGGGUGAGUAACACGUGGAUAACCUACCUAUAAGACUGGGAUAACUUCGGGAAACCGGAGCUAAUACCGGAUAAUAUAUUGAACCGCAUGGUUCAAUAGUGAAAGACGGUUUUGCUGUCACUUAUAGAUGGAUCCGCGCCGCAUUAGCUAGUUGGUAAGGUAACGGCUUACCAAGGCGACGAUGCGUAGCCGACCUGAGAGUGUGAUCGGCCACUCUUGAACUGAGACACGGUCCAGACUCCUACGGGAGGCAGCAGUAGGGAACCUUCCGCAAUGGGCGAAAGCCUGACGGAGCAACGCCGCGUGAGUGAUGAAGGUCUUCGGAUCGUAAAACUCUGUUAUUAGGGAAGAACAAAUGUGUAAGUAACUAUGCACGUCUUGACGGUACCUAAUCAGAAAGCCACGGCUAACUACGUG
rnacentral:rRNA from 1 species